rnacentral:rRNA from 1 species
UUACUUGAUAGUUUUCGGCUGGGGUGACCCUGGAGAAAAACAAAUCCUCCAGGAUGAACGGAAUAAUAAUCCUAAUCAAAGAGCUACAGCUCUAUGAAUCAAAAUAUUGACAGAUUUGAUCCAAUUACUUGAUCAACGAACCAAGUUACCCUGGGGAUAACAGCGCAAUCCAUUUCAAGAGCCCCUAUCGACAAAUGGGUUUACGACCUCGAUGUUGGAUCGGGGUGUCCCAGUGGCGCAACCGCUACUAAAGGUUCGUUUGUUCAACGAUUU